rnacentral:rRNA from 1 species
CAAUAGCGUAUAUUAAAGUUGUUGCGGUUAAAAAGCUCGUAGUUGGAUUUCUGCGAAGGACGAACGGUCCACCUUAUGGGUGUGCAUCUGUCAGGCCUUUGCAUCCUCGUGGGGAACGUCGCUGCGCUUCAUUGCGUGGUACGGAAUCCACGACUUUUACUUUGAGGAAAUUAGAGUGUUCACGGCAGGCAAGCGCCUUGAAUACAUUAGCAUGGAAUAAUAAUAUAGGAUCGCGAUUCUAUUUUGUUGGUUUCUAGAAUCACGAUAAUGAUUAAUAGGGAUAAUUGGGGGCAUUUGUAUUAACGCGUCAGAGGUGGAAUUCUUGGAUUGCGUUACGACAAACUACUGCGAAAGCAUUUGCCAAGGAUGUUUUCAUUGAUCAAGAACGAAAGUAUGGGGAUCGAAGAUGAUUAGAUACCAU